UACGGGAGGGGGCUAGCGUUGUUCGGAAUUACUGGGCGUAAAGCGCACGUAGGCGGCUUUGUAAGUUAGAGGUGAAAGCCCAGGGCUUAACCCUGGAAUUGCCUUUAAGACUGCAUCGCUAGAAUCGUGGAGAGGUGAGUGGAAUUCCGAGUGUAGAGGUGAAAUUCGUAGAUAUUCGGAAGAACACCAGUGGCGAAGGCGACUCACUGGACACGUAUUGACGCUGAGGUGCGAAAGCGUGGGGAGCAACAGG
rnacentral:rRNA from 1 species